GGUUAGACCAAUAAUUACGAUAGUCGAUUAUGUUGAUACUUGAUUGUAAUCUUAUCUGUAUUUUAUAUUAAGUGCUCAUUGUUUUAAAAUUAAUAUAAACAACUUCCCCCCUCCAAAAAAACAAAUUGCUUAUCCACUAUAGCCUACCUUCUAUACUUGGCGUGUUUAUCGAUUUCGAAAACAGAAAUAUCUUUUCAGAACGUAUUUCACUCACAUU